rnacentral:rRNA from 1 species
GGUUAAGCGACUAAGCGUACACGGUGGAUGCCCUGGCAGUCAGAGGCGAUGAAGGACGUGCUAAUCUGCGAUAAGCGUCGGUAAGGUGAUAUGAACCGUUAUAACCGGCGAUUUCCGAAUGGGGAAACCCAGUGUGAUUCGUCACACUAUCAUUAACUGAAUCCAUAGGUUAAUGAGGCGAACCGGGGGAACUGAAACAUCUAAGUACCCCGAGGAAAAGAAAUCAACCGAGAUUCCCCCAGUAGCGGCGAGCGAACGGGGAGCAGCCCAGAGCCUGAAUCAGUGUGUGUGUUAGUGGAAGCGUCUGGAAAGGCGCGCGAUACAGGGUGACAGCCCCGUACACAAAAAUGCACAUGCUGUGAGCUCGAUGAGUAGGGCGGGACACGUGGUAUCCUGUCUGAAUAUGGGGGGACCAUCCUCCAAGGCUAAAUACUCCUGACUGACCGAUAGUGAACCAGUACCGUGAGGGAAAGGCGAAAAGAACCCCGGCGAGGGGAGUGAAAAAGAACCUGAAACCGUGUACGUACAAGCAGUGGGAGCACGCUUAGGCGUGUGACUGCGUACCUUUUGUAUAAUGGGUCAGCGACUUAUAUUCUGUAGCAAGGUUAACCGAAUAGGGGAGCCGAAGGGAAACCGAGUCUUAACUGGGCGUUAAGUUGCAGGGUAUAGACCCGAAACCCGGUGAUCUAGCCAUGGGCAGGUUGAAGGUUGGGUAACACUAACUGGAGGACCGAACCGACUAAUGUUGAAAAAUUAGCGGAUGACUUGUGGCUGGGGGUGAAAGGCCAAUCAAACCGGGAGAUAGCUGGUUCUCCCCGAAAGCUAUUUAGGUAGCGCCUCGUGAAUUCAUCUCCGGGGGUAGAGCACUGUUUCGGCAAGGGGGUCAUCCCGACUUACCAACCCGAUGCAAACUGCGAAUACCGGAGAAUGUUAUCACGGGAGACACACGGCGGGUGCUAACGUCCGUCGUGAAGAGGGAAACAACCCAGACCGCCAGCUAAGGUCCCAAAGUCAUGGUUAAGUGGGAAACGAUGUGGGAAGGCCCAGACAGCCAGGAUGUUGGCUUAGAAGCAGCCAUCAUUUAAAGAAAGCGUAAUAGCUCACUGGUCGAGUCGGCCUGCGCGGAAGAUGUAACGGGGCUAAACCAUGCACCGAAGCUGCGGCAGCGACGCUGAUGCGUUGUUGGGUAGGGGAGCGUUCUGUAAGCCUGCGAAGGUGUGCUGUGAGGCAUGCUGGAGGUAUCAGAAGUGCGAAUGCUGACAUAAGUAACGAUAAAGCGGGUGAAAAGCCCGCUCGCCGGAAGACCAAGGGUUCCUGUCCAACGUUAAUCGGGGCAGGGUGAGUCGACCCCUAAGGCGAGGCCGAAAGGCGUAGUCGAUGGGAAACAGGUUAAUAUUCCUGUACUUGGUGUUACUGCGAAGGGGGGACGGAGAAGGCUAUGUUGGCCGGGCGACGGUUGUCCCGGUUUAAGCGUGUAGGCUGGUUUUCCAGGCAAAUCCGGAAAAUCAAGGCUGAGGCGUGAUGACGAGGCACUACGGUGCUGAAGCAACAAAUGCCCUGCUUCCAGGAAAAGCCUCUAAGCAUCAGGUAACAUCAAAUCGUACCCCAAACCGACACAGGUGGUCAGGUAGAGAAUACCAAGGCGCUUGAGAGAACUCGGGUGAAGGAACUAGGCAAAAUGGUGCCGUAACUUCGGGAGAAGGCACGCUGAUAUGUAGGUGAAGUCCCUCGCGGAUGGAGCUGAAAUCAGUCGAAGAUACCAGCUGGCUGCAACUGUUUAUUAAAAACACAGCACUGUGCAAACACGAAAGUGGACGUAUACGGUGUGACGCCUGCCCGGUGCCGGAAGGUUAAUUGAUGGGGUCAGCGCAAGCGAAGCUCUUGAUCGAAGCCCCGGUAAACGGCGGCCGUAACUAUAACGGUCCUAAGGUAGCGAAAUUCCUUGUCGGGUAAGUUCCGACCUGCACGAAUGGCGUAAUGAUGGCCAGGCUGUCUCCACCCGAGACUCAGUGAAAUUGAACUCGCUGUGAAGAUGCAGUGUACCCGCGGCAAGACGGAAAGACCCCGUGAACCUUUACUAUAGCUUGACACUGAACAUUGAGCCUUGAUGUGUAGGAUAGGUGGGAGGCUUGGAAGUGUGGACGCCAGUCUGCAUGGAGCCGACCUUGAAAUACCACCCUUUAAUGUUUGAUGUUCUAACGUUGACCCGUAAUCCGGGUUGCGGACAGUGUCUGGUGGGUAGUUUGACUGGGGCGGUCUCCUCCUAAAGAGUAACGGAGGAGCACGAAGGUUGGCUAAUCCUGGUCGGACAUCAGGAGGUUAGUGCAAUGGCAUAAGCCAGCUUGACUGCGAGCGUGACGGCGCGAGCAGGUGCGAAAGCAGGUCAUAGUGAUCCGGUGGUUCUGAAUGGAAGGGCCAUCGCUCAACGGAUAAAAGGUACUCCGGGGAUAACAGGCUGAUACCGCCCAAGAGUUCAUAUCGACGGCGGUGUUUGGCACCUCGAUGUCGGCUCAUCACAUCCUGGGGCUGAAGUAGGUCCCAAGGGUAUGGCUGUUCGCCAUUUAAAGUGGUACGCGAGCUGGGUUUAGAACGUCGUGAGACAGUUCGGUCCCUAUCUGCCGUGGGCGCUGGAGAACUGAGGGGGGCUGCUCCUAGUACGAGAGGACCGGAGUGGACGCAUCACUGGUGUUCGGGUUGUCAUGCCAAUGGCACUGCCCGGUAGCUAAAUGCGGAAGAGAUAAGUGCUGAAAGCAUCUAAGCACGAAACUUGCCCCGAGAUGAGUUCUCCCUGACUCCUUGAGAGUCCUGAAGGAACGUUGAAGACGACGACGUUGAUAGGCCGGGUGUGUAAGCGCAGCGAUGCGUUGAGCUAACCGGUACUAAUGAACCGUGAGGCUUAACCUU